rnacentral:rRNA from 1 species
UACGAAGGGGGCUAGCGUUGUUCGGAAUUACUGGGCGUAAAGCGCGUGUAGGCGGGCCGUUAAGUCGGGGGUGAAAGCCCAGAGCUCAACUCUGGAACUACCUUCGAUACUGGCGGCCUGGAGCAUGAUAGAGGCGAGUGGAAUUGCGAGUGUAGAGGUGAAAUUCGUAGAUAUUCGCAGGAACACCAGUGGCGAAGGCGUCUCGCUGGAUCAUUGCUGACGCUGGGACGCGAAAGCGUGGGGAGCAAACAGG